rnacentral:lncRNA from 1 species
GGAACUCCCAGACACCACCAACCUCAACUGGAAGGAGGCGGCCAUCCGGUGUCUGGAGAGCCUCCGAUCCCAAUCUGGAACCUCUCCGCCGGCCGUUCCACAGUCAAGCCCGCCAGCCGCGGCAUACUCAAGCCCGCCGGCCGCGCCGAAGUCAAGCCCGCCAGCGGUUCCUCAGUCAAGCCUGCCGGUCGUGGCUCACUCAAGCCCGCCAACCAUGCCUUUCACCCCGAACCUAAAGGGGAAUCUAAGGAGGAGAAGGCGGUCGACUCCAGCCCCAGAGCUCGCUCCAAUGUCGGCUCCAGCCCCCGAAUCCAGCCCAAAGAGAGCUCCUGUUCCCGAGUUUAGCCCACGGAGGGCUCCUGCUCCCGAGUUUAGCCCAUGGAGGGCUCCUGUCCCCGAGUUUAGCCCAGAGAGGGUUCCUGUCCCCGAGUCUAGCCCAGUGAGGGCUCCUGUCCCCGAGUCUAGCCCAGAGAGAGCUCCUGUCCCCGAGUUUAGCCCAGAGAGGGCUCCAGUCCCCGAGUUUAGCCAAGAGAAGGUUCCAGUCCCCGUGUCUAGCACAGAAAGGGCUCCAGUUCCCAUGUCCAGCCCAAGGAGGGCUCCAGUCCCCAAGUCAAGCCCAGGGAGGGCCACAGUUCCCAAGUUAAGCUUACAGUGGGCCGCUAAAGUCUAUAUUCUCCCCAUGGAUUUUUUUUUUGUGGGGGGUGGUAGGGGUCCAUCGAGUCCCCUGCUCCGCUAUGGCUGCCCGAGCUCCCUGUUCCGCCAUGGCCUCCUGAACUGUCUGCUCCGCCAUGGUUUCCCGAGCUCCCUGUUCCGCCAUGGCCUCCUGAACUGUCUGCUCCGCCAUGGCCCCCUGAACUGCCUGCUCCGCCAUGGCCUCCUGAACUGCCUGCUCCACCAUGGCUUCCUAGUCUGCCUACUCCGCCAUGGCUCCCAGAGCUCCCUGCUCCACCAUGGCCCCUGAGCUCCCUGUGCCGCCAUGGCACCCUGGACUGCCUGAUCCACCCUGGAGGUAUUCCCCGUGUCCCAGUCCUACACCAGCCUGCAUGGCGACCCCCCCCCCCAGGGGGGUUAAUUGUUACGGUGUGGGACAC